UCGAAUUCAUAUGUUCAUGCUAUGCUCAUGUUGUUCUAGCUGUAUCAUGUUCAUGUUGCGCAAGUCAUGUUGUUAUGAGGAUCUCAUGUUAAUUCCUGCUUAACCUGUAAAUGCCAUGCUGAUGUUUGUCUUGAAUGCUUCUGGUUAAUGUGAGCUUGCAAGUACAUUCAAUGUACUGACCUGGCAUGUCAUGCCAGCUUGCAGGUCGUGCCUGGAUUUCUUUCUUGUUUGGUGUUGUUCUUGUGUUUGCGAGCUAGGAUAAGCAUUCCAGCCAGAGUCCCUGCGGAGUGGAGUUCACCACCGUCGUCGUUGUUCCGCCGCCAGUAGUUAUUGCGCUGCCUCAACUUGCUAUGCUGCUUGCAUAGAGCAACUGAGGAUGGCGUAGUGUCGUCGUGCCGAUGUUAUUCAUUGUAAUAUCGGAGACCUUGUAUUCAUAUUCGUGUAUUAAUAGAAAGCUGGUUUGUUCUAUGCUAAGCAGUGCCGUAUUCCAGAAGACUUCACCUCGAUCUCUGGGCUGGAAUACGGGGCGUUCCGGUUUUCUCUGAGCCGGGGUGCCACAGGCUUGGUAUCAGAGCAGGUCUGGCUGUAGGAUGCCCUAGCCCGCCCGAACGUUAGAAAGCGGUAGUAUAGACCCCAGUUGGUUUGUUGCAUUUGUUUGUCGCAUAGCAUGUAUAUAGAUUAUUAUUUUGUCACUAACGGUUGAUCUUGUGAGUGUAGGCGGCAUCGUUUUCGGUCCACCGCCUGCACCCUCCUUCUUAGCAUGCCUGCUCUUCGGUGUGAUUCGACCACAUCAUCAUCCAUUGCCCUCCAUCUCGUUCUUUUGGCAACCCUUGCUGAUCUUUGUUAUCAGAAAAGGGUAAUGCCAUUAAACCCCGUCUUCCACUGUUAUCUUGCCUUGUCAUUUCAUUCUUUGGACGGGUACGAUUCCCUUCGUACGCUUGAUGAUGAGGUGGUCGUGACUUUUGUGUCUCGCUACUUGAUCGUCAAGUCCGUCCUCACCUGUGUAUCCAUCCAGAUCCAGCCACUGUUCAGCCAGUGCUUGGUGUAGCUUCGGUUACGCCAACUCCUUCCACACAUGGAUAUAAUUUUCGUGCACACCGCCACAGCAUAUUAGACCGUAGUACCGGAGUUUCCAUGUGAUUAGUGUGCUUAGGUGUGCAUGCAUAUUAUGGUGUGAGUAGCAGUAAUAUGUGAAGAUUGCUUGAUUAAUUAUAUUAGUAGUAUGCUUGUGUGCUUUUGUUUUAGUUAUAUCUUUUGUUUGUUUCUUUGGGCCUUUGGUGUUACAAAUUUUCCCCUAUUAAAGUUGCUCGUCAGCCGACACCGGACCCGAAGAGUCAGCAAGAAAUGCAUAUAUUUGGAAACUCGGUUAAACAAGAAUGGAAUUGUCAGCAGACUGCAGUGAAAUUGGAAAUAGCUCGUCUGAAUACAAAAGAAAUCCUGGAUGGAAUGUCAGUAUAAAGUUUGCAUUAACAUGCACUCCUCACAACAGUAUGGAAUUCUCAGCCGACUGCAUUCAGAUUGGGGGAUAUCUGGUCAUGUUACUGAGUGUCAAGUCUCCCUCAGCGUGUACUCCUCAUAGCACAAAUGAUCAAAUCAGCAAGAAGAUAAAUUGUGUGCAUGGUUGAUAAAAUAUUAUCAAAGGUAUGGCUCAGAUACAAGUUUAAUUUUUCGUUGAGGAUGAUUUUGGAACCCGAUGUACCUGGAAGCAAGCAAAAAUAUGGCAUGUACUCAGAAAGGAGGAUAGUCCUGCAAAACCCCGUUUCAUACAAGAAAUCAAGAACAAAAUUUUUAAGAUGGUUAUAUAUGUGGAAAUCGGUUCGCAUAUCACAAUAAGAAGCUUCUGGUGUAAGAAACCCAAUCUUCCCUCGCAAGAUACCCGAGAAGCUUCCAAGGCAAGAUUCAUCUAUCUUCCUCAGUAUGAUACAUGGAUGAUUUCCCGUACAAGGUACUCUGCCUUCUUCAGUAAGCUACCGCAAAAGCUUCCGGCAUAAGGUACCGAGUCUUUCCCCAGCAAAGUCUUUAAGGGGGUAAGCUUCUGAAGCACGAUACCCAGUCUUCUUCAGCAAGCUGUCCGAUGAAAGUUUCGAGCACAAACCAGCCAAUCUUCCCUAGUAAGACAUUGGUACAAGGUAGUAUGAUGUGAAUUGAUAGCAUAUGGCAGUGAAUCCCAAGAAUCAGAUCCGCAACAUUUAGGUCAGAAGCAAGAAUCAGUCAGAAUACAUGUCUGUCUCGGGAAUCAGAUUCUCAUAUAUAUGCGGUGAGCAUACCAGCAAGAUCUUACAAGUCACUCAGAUGAGGAUAUGACAACCACGUGAGGAUGGUUAAGAGAAGAAAGCCAGUAUACACCGCAGUGUGACAAAGGAUUAUGAGGAUUGACGACAUCAAUGGCUCAAUGCAAGUACCUGUGAACCUGGAAAAUGAUCCUGAUGAGCCCUUGUCCCCUUUUUUCUCCAAUGAUGGCACCAUGCCUGUGAUCUAAGCUGUUUUUAGCUAUCCGGGGUGGAUGCCGAUUUUUUAUUUCUCUCUUCAACGACUGUCACGAGUUCUGAGCUGCUUUUCGGCCGUCUCGUACAGCUGUUGAGUUUCUUUUUGUGACAGUAGCCCUAUAGCUGCUUUUUGGCUAUUUUAGGGAGCUGCCACCUUCUUCUUAUCAACCCGAUCUCAUGUUCUGAGCUGCUUUUCGGCCGUCCUGCGCCAUGGUUGAGUUAUUUCAGUAAUGUCCCAGAUCUGAGUUGUAAAGACCGUUCUGGUGGCUACUGAUUUAUUUGCCGAUUUCUUGCAAAGGUUCGGAUGAUCAUUUUCCUGCGGUCAGAACUUGAGGGGUGUUGAACCUGCCAUUUAAUGGGGUACCCUGUCAGAAAAAUGAGGAUAAGCUGCGAUUGCCGAAAAAUUGCACUGACAGUACCUAUGGUGAUAAGAAGAAGCAAUAUGACCCAGCUCUUUCAGCCAAGGAUCCUGGCCAAGAAAACAAUAAUGAAGGAGCAAGACCAGUGAUGCAGGUAUGAAAAUUGUUGCAAGACCCGCGUGGUGCAGAACCACCGUCAGUCAAGUCUACAGAUAUUAUCAUACAAGUCAAACUCUUAUGCUAGCCACGACAGGCGACAAUCAAAUAUUUGGUACGGAUCCGAUACUCAAGACAGUGGAACCAGUUAAGAUGAUUCAGAAGCUUCCGCGAUAAGCCAGAAUUUGUCAGGAAAGCGGUUAUGACCCAACUCGCUGUUUGGAACCCGAAGGACCUGCAUUUAGUGGAGAAAACCAAUGCAAGGAUUUAGAGCUUGGGUGUCCACUAGAAAAAAUCUGAUCACCACUUCAUGAAAGAUUGUCAAUGACACACCCAGCAGAAAUCACUCUUGGAUUUGUGAAACCGACGUAUAUUUCAGUCGUGAGAAUCCAUCACAGUCAGCUAAGUCAGCAGAUCUAAAAAGAAAUUGGAGCCUGUAUAAGCAUGAACAAGCAAGGUAAGAUCUGUCAGAAUAUGGAUAUAUUAAAGCAAACCACCCCAGGACCAGUCAGAUAAAAAUUUAGGGGGGACAAAAAUAAGAAAAAGGAUACCCGAGUUGGAAACGGUUUCCUUAAGUCAGUAUCUUCAUACUUGUUCCCUGAGCAACCAAAUCUCGAGGACGAGAUUUCUUUAAGGGGGUAAGGUUUGUAACAGCCUGAUUUUUGGCCCUUUCUUUUUCUUUUGUUUUUCUGAGGUUUUUCCUUGAGAUUUCUUUUUCCGUGGCUUUGUGGUCUGGAAACUGAACAAGAUGCCCUCUUGUUUAUUUCCAGAGUGGCUUGUCAUUCCCAAAUCCUUCCCUAGACCCCGUCAUUUUCAUCCUAGCCCAAAUCCCAAUAUUCUCUUCAUUGGGAAUAUUCCUUUUCUACUAAAGGAAUAACUCAAGUUGCCCUAGGUUGUGAAGCAACCUUUACUUCCAUCACUCCUAAAAUUCCCAAAUAAUUCUCAUAAAUGUUUUGGGUCAUAUCUUUCCCAAAUAUGGUAAAAUAUUUCAUUUGUCAUGUUUAUCAUCAUGCUCAAAUAAUUCAUUUCCUAUUCUACCCUAAAUGGCACAUUGUGAAGCAAGUGCUAUUUUCCUUUUCCCAAGUGACCUCAAACUCCUUGGACACCUUUUCCUGUCCAUAUCAUUGCCACAUGCCAAAAUGCAACCUCAUUUGGCUAGUAAUUAUUUAAUUAUGAUUUUCCAAAGUUUCUAUCCAGAAAGAAGCUUUGUGAAGGAGGUGCAAUCUAGGCAUAUCCAAAUGAGUUUCCAUUUUGCAUGAUCCCUCAUAUCAUCAUAUCAUAGCCCUCCACCAAAGUAGAGCUCAUGUCAUGCCUCCAUGUGAGCUCAUCUUCAAUUCUUUGAUUCUGUCCAAAAUUUCAGCUUGUGAAGCAAGUAUAUUUUAUCUUGCUCCAUUAUGGCUGCCAAUUUUUCUAGGCCUUCUGUUAUCCAUAUAACCUACCUCCACCCAUUUUGGGCAUGUCUCAUCAAGCCAUUAUUUCUCUAGAAUUUUUCCAAGAUUCUGCACAGAAAUGAUGUUUGUAAAGAAAGUACCAUUUUAGAUGGUCCAUUUGGUAUGAGCUUUUUACAGCAUCUUUAUAUUUCCAUAUCAUGAGGAUUUGCCAAGUUGCAUCCCAUUCCAUAACUCCAUGUGAGUGCAUCAUCCAAAUCAAGUUUCUGGACCAAAAAUGCAGUUGCAAAGCAACCCUAUUAUUUAUUGGUCCAUUUCUUCUCUAAAUCUCCAGUAUUGUAGUUCUUCCUUAGUUAAACCUCCCAGACAACUCCUUUGACCUCAAUCAAGUCUCUGUGGAUUAGCAGUGCUCGUCCAAGUUUACUGAAGUAAACUUCAGAGCUUGAUUACCAUUUAACCAGAGAGAUUUUAACCAAACUACCACCGCAGUAGGAACCUCCCCUGGAUGAACUUGCCACUAGACAACACGCUCCAGAUCAUUUCCCCCGCUACAUGCCAGUGCACGCGGUGACCGCGUUAAUGGCAAGCCUGUGCGCGCGCUCUGCUACAAUUGGCCACACCCAGGAUGGAUUCUUGCUCGGGCCCCUCCUCCUCUCAUCGUAUUAGCACGCGUGAGCAUGUCCCUUGGCUUCACCUCGUCGUCGCCGAUCACAUGGACCCCGCUCCCCCUCAGGCAGCUUCCUCACCGACGAAAGCCGCAGCGUGCCCACGGGCGCACAGUGGCGUUUGGCUCGGUUCAUCGCCGUCGCCUUCCUCCUUGCGCUCCGUUGGCCUCCUCUGCCCCGUGAGACACUCCACUGCUCCUCCCCCGUCGUCUACCAGCGAGCUCAUGCGCGUGCACACACGUCCGCGGCGCCGGACACGCGUCCGCGGCGGCGCCAGCGCGACACUCCCUCGCCCGGCUAUAUAUAGCCAUCCCCGCGGCCUCCCGAGCACCUCAUCAGCCUCGCCUCACUCCCAGCUUCCUCCUCGUCCACUAGCCCGAGCUCGAGCAGCUCUCCUCGACCCCCAUCGCCGCCAUGCCCGCCGCUCUGCUCAGCUCAAAUUCGAGCUGGGCAGUGCCCCUCCCCCUCUCUUUCCACCACCAGUAGACUCCUCCUCCACCUAGACUUCGCCCCCGUGCUCUCCCUCCCCUCCGGUGGCCUUCUGCCAUGAGCUCGCCGCCGACCGAAGAUCGCCGUCCGCCGCGGCUGGCCUCCCGCUCAGCCGAGCCCUACCCCGCGGCUGCAUCUUGCCUGGAUGGAUCCGCCUCGUUGCGCUGAUCACGCCGGUAGGUCGCACGCCGCGAGAGGUGGCCGGAGUGGCCGGGAAUCCGCGUCGGGCCGCCGGUCUCGUCUCUACAUCGCGGGCGAGCGGGAGGAGGAAGAAGGAGCCAGGCCAGGCAGGCCCCAUCUCCACGCGGCCCCACCUGUCGGCGGGCAGGCGUUGACCCCGCCUGCCUAGCUGGAUAAGUGAGGGGCCCCACAGCCCGUGGGACCCGCACGUCAGCGACCCCACGCCCGGCCCCGCCACUGUCCACGUGGAUAAGUGGAAGCGUACUUCGCAGAAGUACGUUUUCGCCUUCAGAAAGCGUAUUUCUCUUCUGCUCCAGUCGUAAGUGCGCUUUCAUAGUUUGAAAACUAUUUUCUUCUUAGGCGCCUUCUGUUUUCUCACUCAGGGGCCUGUUUGUAGAGAUUCUUUUACAAAUCGGUCCCUGAACUUCGUCGGGCUAUAUCUUUUUACUCCCAACUCCAAAUGAGGUGAUUCCAAAGCCCAUUUCUUUGUCUCGUCGAGCCCGUUCUGUUGGUUUCAUUUUCACUAUGGUUUGACACUGUGAAAAUGACCAUUUUUUCCCUUGCCCGUAAACAGCCCCUCCGAGAGAGAACUGUUUCCGGCAAAUCUUUCCGCGAGCUUCUCGCGCUUCUUCCCUGUGUUUUCUUCAUCCCCAGGCAAGCCACAAUACCCACUUGCAUGAUAGUCAUGCAGUAGCCAUGGUUUUCAACUUGAAUAUUUAUUAAAUGAUUGGUUGUUUAAAAUAUGGUUAUCGUUGUUUUGGUAAUGCUUCUGGGUUAGUGCUUACUUGCUUGAUAUGUUGUUAUGCACCUGGUUAUCAUGCCCUGCUAGUUGCUAGUAUUACUUUCAUAUUUCCAUGCUUGAUAGUAGUACAUGUUGGGUUGGUCAUGUUCUUCGGUGCAUGAUUAACGUCGGUUAUCGAGUACUGUUAAUAUGCGUUCUUCCUUUGCUGUUAGUUGGUUAAGUGUUACUCGGUAAUGUUAUUGAUGAGUUCUUGCAUGGUAUUUAUGGUUGAUGCUAGUGGUCAUGUUUUACUAUGAGUAGUGUUGCACUUGUAAUAGUUAUGCUCGUCAUUAUGCCAUGUUCAGUUGGAGAUUAUUCAUAGUUGAUAUGGUGGAUCGUUAUGUUGUACCCUCAUGCUUAUGUUGAUCUCAUGCUCAUGCUUUGUAUAUGCAUCAUGUUAUUUUAUCAUGGCUCAGCAUAUUGCAUUCAAGUUUAACCAGAUUAAAUUCAACUUGAACAACUGUUGGCUGAGUCAUGGUGCCACCAUAUCGAAACUGACCAGUGCAACCACGCUUACCUUAUGGGAAGGUCCUAACUGGGUCUAUUGUCGUGCCUCUCGCCGGUGCCUCUAACGAGGGAAGGUUAUGGGCGCGCGCUACCCUGAUCAGGUAGGCGGACAUAACCUUGUGUGCCCGUUGUUGUUAUUAUGGAUCCGGUCCCCGUGAGGGACGUUUUGGCCACGACAGUGGUCGUUGUGUCUUUGGUAGAUACGGGGCCACCCAGGACUAGCCCAGUUGGGAGUGGGUCGGAGUGGCCGGGAGAGUGUCAUGGCAAUAGAUCGGUUUUGUCGGAACGCCGUUGGUCCACCCGAAUGGGAGUGCGAGGCCAGGGGUUCCGUGGUGUGGGUACAGUGUACUAACCUCUGCAGAGUGUAUAUUAAAUCUAUCGAUAGCCGCGCCCGCGGAUAAGGGCCCAGUUCGUGUCGGUCACACCGUGAGUCAACAGUAUUAAUAAUAACUUGAUUAAUGACAACCCCGGUUUGAUGAUGAGAUAACUUGGUUGUGAUCGCCGGAAAGAUCACCGUUUGAUACCAAGUGUUGGUCAUGGUUGUGAUCGCCGAAAUGAUCACCGUGGUAUCGAGGAUACCGAGUUGUUGGAUAUUCGUGAUGUUGUGCGAGAAUCAUGGGUAAAGAUCAAGCUCCUUGUGGUCAUUUAAUGAUUACUACGGUAUUGUUUAUACCAAGCUUGAUUUGAUCCUGAGAUGAUCGUGUGAUGUCCGAGGUUGGUAAGUGAUGCAUGUGAUGGUUACGUAGUAACCCGAGCAGAAUAAAUAGUGCAUAUAAUGUCUUCAUGUUGCAUGCUAGUAUUGUCGAAUUCAUAUGUUCAUGCUAUGCUCAUGUUGUUCUAGCUGUAUCAUGUUCAUGUUGCGCAAGUCAUGUUGUUAUGAGGAUCUCAUGUUAAUUCCUGCUUAACAUGUAAAUGCCAUGCUGAUGUUUGUCUUGAAUGCUUCUGGUUGAUGUGAGCUUGCAAGUACAUUCAAUGUACUGACCUGGCGUGUCAUGCCAGCUUGCAGGUCGUGCCUAGAUUGCUUGCUUGUUUGGUGUUGUUCCUGUGUUCACGAGCUAGGAUAAGCUUUCCAGUCAGAGUCCCUGUGGAGUGGAGUUCACCACCGUCGUCGUUGUUCCGCUGCCAGUAGUUGUUCCGCUGCCUCAAGUUGCUAUGCUGCUUGCAUAGAGCAACUGAGGAUGGCGUAGUGUCGCCGUGCCGAUGUUAUUCAUUGUAAUAUCGGAGACCUUGUAUUCAUAUCCGUGUAUUAAUAGAAAUCUGGUUUGUUCUAUGCUAAGCAGUGCCGUAUUCCAGAAGACUUCACCUCGAUCUCUAGGCUGGAAUACGGGGCGUUGCGGUUUUCUCUGAGCCGGGGUGCCACAUCCUAUAUAUUGAAGAAAUACAUGGAAUUAAUACACCACCAAUGCCUAAGGUGGUAGAGGUAAAUUAUCUUAUAAAGUUUAAUGAUAAUGAUAAUCCUCACAAUAUGCAUCGAUCCUAGUCAAUGCCAUUAUGAGUUUGAAAACUACAUUAGAAAACAUGAUCACUUUAAUGCAAAUGUUAUGAAACAAUUGAAAUACAAUUCUGAUAUGAUUGCUCGCUUGAGUGACUUGUUAUUUACAAUCUCAAAUGAUGUUAGAGGUGUUGGAAAACAUGCUUCUAUGGUUCAAACUCAACUAGAACAAGUUGCUAAAUCACAAACAGAAUUGCUUGAUGAAAUGAAUCACAAUAUGCAUGACUUUGCUGUUAGAGUUGCAACUAGAGGAGGUAAAAUAACUCAGGAACCACUUUAUCCUGAGGGAUACCCAAAAAGAAUUGAA
rnacentral:lncRNA from 1 species